rnacentral:rRNA from 1 species
GGGAUAAGCCUGGGAAACUGGGUCUAAUACCGGAUAGGAGCGCCUACCGCAUGGUGGGUGUUGGAAAGAUUUAUCGGUUUUGGAUGGACUCGCGGCCUAUCAGCUUGUUGGUGAGGUAAUGGCUCACCAAGGCGACGACGGGUAGCCGGCCUGAGAGGGUGACCGGCCACACUGGGACUGAGACACGGCCCAGACUCCUACGGGAGGCAGCAGUGGGGAAUAUUGCACAAUGGGCGCAAGCCUGAUGCAGCGACGCCGCGUGAGGGAUGACGGCCUUCGGGUUGUAAACCUCUUUCAGUAGGGAAGAAGCGAAAGUGACGGUACCUGCAGAAGAAGCACCGGCUAACUACGUGCCAGCAGCCGCGGUAAUACGUAGGGUGCGAGCGUUAUCCGGAAUUAUUGGGCGUAAAGAGCUCGUAGGCGGUUUGUCGCGUCUGUCGUGAAAGUCCGGGGCUUAACCCCGGAUCUGCGGUGGGUACGGGCAGACUAGAGUGCAGUAGGGGAGACUGGAAUUCCUGGUGUAGCGGUGGAAUGCGCAGAUAUCAGGAGGAACACCGAUGGCGAAGGCAGGUCUCUGGGCUGUAACUGACGCUGAGGAGCGAAAGCAUGGGGAGCGAACAGGAUUAGAUACCCUGGUAGUCCAUGCCGUAAACGUUGGGCACUAGGUGUGGGGACCAUUCCACGGUUUCCGCGCCGCAGCUAACGCAUUAAGUGCCCCGCCUGGGGAGUACGGCCGCAAGGCUAAAACUCAAAGGAAUUGACGGGGGCCCGCACAAGCGGCGGAGCAUGCGGAUUAAUUCGAUGCAACGCGAAGAACCUUACCAAGGCUUGACAUGUUCUCGAUCGCCGUAGAGAUACGGUUUCCCCUUUGGGGCGGGUUCACAGGUGGUGCAUGGUUGUCGUCAGCUCGUGUCGUGAGAUGUUGGGUUAAGUCCCGCAACGAGCGCAACCCUCGUUCCAUGUUGCCAGCACGUAGUGGUGGGGACUCAUGGGAGACUGCCGGGGUCAACUCGGAGGAAGGUGAGGACGACGUCAAAUCAUCAUGCCCCUUAUGUCUUGGGCUUCACGCAUGCUACAAUGGCCGGUACAAUGGGUUGCGAUACUGUGAGGUGGAGCUAAUCCCAAAAAGCCGGUCUCAGUUCGGAUUGGGGUCUGCAACUCGACCCCAUGAAGUCGGAGUCGCUAGUAAUCGCAGAUCAGCAACGCUGCGGUGAAUACGUUCCCGGGCCUUGUACACACCG